UGUAAACAACGCAUUGAUGAUUCAGAAGGGGCGGCUUCAGUUCCUGUACUUUAACAUCAUCGCGAACCUUUCUGCUUGUGAAAACCGGUCGUAGAGCUUUCCCUAUCAACGAUCCAAGACCCGUGAGUUGUCUUCGCACAAUAUCGGCCGAUUUUUUAUCUUUAAACGGCAAGAUAAGGCACACCGCGUUUUCUUGCUGUUUCGUUGAUGUUUCCUUCACUUCCUCGUCCUGCUUGUCGACAAACCCCGAUAUUACCGAA